UACGUAGGGGGCAAGCGUUGUCCGGAAUCAUUGGGCGUAAAGCGCGUGUAGGCGGCCCGAUAAGUCCGCUGUGAAAGUCCAGGGCUCAACCCUGGAAUGCCGGUGGAUACUGUCGGGCUAGAGUCCGGAAGAGGCGAGUGGAAUUCCUGGUGUAGCGGUGAAAUGCGCAGAUAUCAGGAGGAACACCAAUUGCGAAGGCAGCUCGCUGGGACGUUACUGACGCUGAGACGCGAAAGCGUGGGGAGCAAACAGG
rnacentral:rRNA from 1 species